UUCACGCAGAUGGCGGUUGCAGAUGAGC
rnacentral:sRNA from 1 species